rnacentral:rRNA from 1 species
GAUGAACGCUAGCGGCAGGCCUAACACAUGCAAGUCGAGGGAGAAGCCCUUCGGGGCAGAAACCGGCGCACGGGUGCGUAACGCGUAUGCAACCUACCUUUCACAGGGGGAUAGCCCGAAGAAAUUUGGAUUAAUACCCCAUAAUAUUAUUGGAUGGCAUCAUUUGAUAAUUAAAAUUACGAUGGUGAAAGAUGGGCAUGCGUCCUAUUAGCUAGUUGGAGUGGUAACGGCACCCCAAGGCUACGAUAGGUAGGGGUCCUGAGAGGGAGAUCCCCCACACUGGUACUGAGACAGGGACCAGACUCCUACGGGAGGCAGCAGUGAGGAAUAUUGGUCAAUGGUCGGAAGACUGAACCAGCCAUGCCGCGUGCAGGAAGAAUGCCUUAUGGGUUGUAAACUGCUUUUAUAUGGGAAGAAUAAGGAGUACGCGUACUUUGAUGACGGUACCAUAUGAAUAAGC